AGACCCGAAACCCGGUGAUCUAGCCAUGGGCAGGUUGAAGGUUGGGUAACACUAACUGGAGGACCGAACCGACUAAUGUUGAAAAAUUAGCGGAUGACCUGUGGCUGGGGGUGAAAGGCCAAUCAAACCGGGAGAUAGCUGGUUCUCCCCGAAAGCUAUUUAGGUAGCGCCUCGUGAAUUCAUCUCCGGGGGUAGAGCACUGUUUCGGCUAGGGGGCCAUCCCGGCUUACCAACCCGAUGCAAACUGCGAAUACCGGAGAAUGUUAUCACGGGAGACACACGGCGGGUGCUAACGUCCGUCGUGAAGAGGGAAACAACCCAGACCGCCAGCUAAGGUCCCAAAGUCAUGGUUAAGUGGGAAACGAUGUGGGAAGGCCCAGACAGCCAGGAUGUUGGCUUAGAAGCAGCCAUCAUUUAAAGAAAGCGUAAUAGCUCACUGGUCGAGUCGGCCUGCGCGGAAGAUGUAACGGGGCUAAACCAUGCACCGAAGCUGCGGCAGCGAACGUAUCACCCAAGACAACUUUACGGAGUUGACGAUUGACGGAGCGAAGCGACGUCAAAGCGUUCAUUAAAGUCGAGUUGGCUUAGGGAUACGUUCGUUGGGUAGGGGAGCGUUCUGUAAGCCUGUGAAGGUGUGUCGUGAGGCAUGCUGGAGGUAUCAGAAGUGCGAAUGCUGACAUAAGUAACGAUAAAGCGGGUGAAAAGCCCGCUCGCCGGAAGACCAAGGGUUCCUGUCCAACGUUAAUCGGGGCAGGGUGAGUCGACCCCUAAGGCGAGGCCGAAAGGCGUAGUCGAUGGGAAACGGGUUAAUAUUCCCGUACUUGGUGUUACUGCGAAGGGGGGACGGAGAAGGCUAUGUUGGCCGGGCGACGGUUGUCCCGGUUUAAGCGUGUAGGUGUGUGUUCCAGGUAAAUCCGGUUCACUUUAACACUGAGGCGUGACGACGAGGCACUACGGUGCUGAAGCAACAAAUGCCCUGCUUCCAGGAAAAGCCUCUAAGCAUCAGGUAACACGAA
rnacentral:rRNA from 1 species